GUUGGCGGUGCGUCUAAUACAUGCAAGUCGAGCGACUCUUCAAGAGGAGCGGCGGACGGCUGAGUAACACGUUAGUAAUUGCCCCCUACUCAGGGAUAACACCGAGAAAUUGGUGCUAAUACCGGAUGGUCCCGCAAGGGUAAAGAUUUUUCGGUAGGGGAGAUGCUUGCGUCCUAUCACGCUUGUUGGUGAGGUAAUGGCUCACCAAGGCUAUGACGGGUAGCUGGUCUGAGAGGAUGAUCAUGCCAGAGGGAGACUGAGACACGGCUCCCACUCCUACGGGAGGCAGCAGUAAAGAAUCUUCCGCAAUGGGCGAAAGCCUGACGGAGCGACACCGCGUGUGGGAUGAAGGCUUUCGGGUCGUAAACCACUUUUCUGGGGGAAUAAUUCUGAAGGUACCCUAGGAAUAAGCACCGGCUAAUCACGUGCCAGCAGCCGCGGUAAUACGUGAGGUGCGAACGUUACCCGGAAUCAUUGGGCGUAAAGCGUCCGCAGGCGGCUUAAUAAGUCAGACAUUAAAUCUUGAGGCUCAACUUUGAGGCUGUGUCCGAAACUAUUAAGCUAGAGUCUUGGAGAGGUGAGUGGAAUUCUGUAUGUAGGGGUAAAAUCCGUAGAUAUACAGAGGAACACCAAAAGCGAAGGCAGCUCACUGGCCGAGUACUGACGCUCAUGGACGAAAGCGUGGGGAGCAAACGGGAUUAGAUACCC
rnacentral:rRNA from 1 species